GGGAGCUUAGAUGUGGAAGCUCUUUGGAAACCAAGAAACACUCUGAAAAUGAAAAGGGAAGCAGAAGUUCUCCUUAGCUGAUUUUUCUUCUUGCCUUAUACUGGGUUCUUUAACACCAGAACAAAAAUAAAUAAAUAAAAGAAUCUUCCAGAAAUUCAUGAAGAGACUUCAGGUCAGGAAAGCCUGAACUUUCUCAUCCAACACCCGUUCAAGUCGGAGGAUGCUGAUUAAUUCAUGAUGGAAAGGUAUCAAUUUCACAGCCCAGACCUCUACAUUCUUGAAAUGCUCUUCUCAUGGGAGACAUUAAAUAAGCUUUGAAUUAACUGAGACCUCUGUGGAUUCUAUAACUCAAAGACCCAGGCUGACGGCUGGUGGAAUAGCUACCAUCUCAAACAUGGCGUGAUGCUGCAUCAGAGAGAAAAAUAAGCUCUUGCAUUGACAAUGAAAUGUCUACCCUGUAGUGACUUGUGCUUACUUCCACUCACAAGUGAUUGCCCAGAGCUACUUACCUGGCUCCAAUCUACCACUGGGUCAGACGUUUGCUGAAUUCAGUUCUGAGCUUUUGAACCAAAAGCAGAUCUUCAGAACAAGAAACAAGAUAAUAAAAGAGAAACAUGAAGAAACUGAAGAUGAUUGGAGAAAUAUGAAUCAAGAUGAUUAGACCUAGCAGAGGGCUGGCUGGAUGGCAUUUAUGUUGACAAUGGACUCCUACACAGAGGAUGAUCAUGGUCUAGGACAUAAUAGUCAUUCAAUCAUCAUUUCUUAAAUGAUUUUUUAAAACAAGUGAAUGAAUGACCAAUUAUAUACCUUCCCUGAGCCAAUAAAAUAUAUUAAAAGUA
rnacentral:lncRNA from 1 species